AAAUACUUUUUCAAAGGGAGAACCUGUAGGGAGCACCCACCAUCCAAAACCAACAGAGAAGACUGCAGACAGACCAUGGCUGAUGUUGGCUGGGUUGUUUCCUUCAGCUAAGUGUGUGGCUCUUGGUGCUUGUAGUGAGAGUCAUCUCUGCUGGAAAGAUGUCAGACACCAGUAUUCCAACGUCUGGUGGAAAUAGUUUGCUUCUGGCCUGCAAGCCUGUGGAAUUUUCCACUCCUGAAGCAAUACCAGCGUCAUGGAGUGGAACAGCCUCUCCCAGUGCAUGCAGACAUCACGGCAAUGCUGAGCACGGACCUCCUGCAACAGCCUCUGGCCACCAUGGGAGCAGCAUAAGGGAUUUGGUGAGCUGAGGGUACCCCACAGCUGUGCAUCCCCUCGGCAUACAUUCCCCAUCCCUGUGCAAGGAAGUCUUGCAAUUUCAAGCUGUUUUUUCCCCUUUUCCCAUUGUCCUCUCAGGCUACACAGGAAACAGGAGAACGGCUAUUUCCUUGUUUCUUUUGUUCAGUUGAUCCCUUAUCCAUUCCCAGUGGAGAGCUUCCCACAGCCCAGAAAGCCCCUAUAAACCUAACACCCCAAGAUUCACUUACCAAAUAUUGCCUUUUUUCCGUUUCCUGGUUAAUCAUUCUCCCUUGCACGCUCCACAGAUGGCAGCUUUGCAGGGGUCAGCUUCAGACUGAACUAUUUGAACUAUUUGCUGACCCAAGACAGCAGUGCUGAGAGGAGGGACGGGUCUGGGGAAGCAGGAAAGGUCUUCUGCUCCUGCCUUGCUUUUCUUUCUCACUCCAUCCCUGGAGACCCGAAGGCCACAUCAUGAUCCAGUAGCAGCUGAGGCAGCUCCUGCCAGAGAGGAAGGUGGAUACUUCUGCUGCCCUCACGCUGCUUGGCCGGUCAGUGGCAGCUGUGGUGGUCUGGAAAUGGCUGGGCAAAAAGAUGAUCCAGAAGAGAAUGGAAGAAGCUCAGAAAACCCGGCAUGAAGGUCUGAAGAAAAUGGCAAAGGCUGUCCAGCAGUUCAGGGAGCAGGUCAGUGAAGGAGAUGUGGAAUCAUAACCAUCAAAUUCAGGUGUACUGCUCCGAGUUCAUCACCCAGUGGAAGGAACUCCAUCUGGACGUUGUGCUGUGCCCUGUCCUGGGGCCUGCCUUCACCACGGGAUACCCCGGGAAACUCUUCAGUAAGUGAGUCUGGGACCUUCCCAGGAGGGACCACAGUGGUUGAGACUGGAGAGAAACAACCGGUACCAGGGAGCUUCACCACCCACCUAAGCAUUUUAUGGGAAUUAGGAAGGAAAAGUAACAACCAUAAAGCUAUAUGAGCAGGUGGAGACAGACACACACUUCUCAGGGGCCUCAGUGAACAUGGAAUGUGUAAGCUUGAAACAAGACAGGAGGCUGUGACUGGCUGGAUUCUCUCUUCUGCUGCUCUCAGCUGCCAUCUCCUCCACGAUGCUGUACAACAUCUUGAACUUCCCUGCUGGGGUUGUACCUGUCAGCACAGUGACAGAAGCAGAUGAGGAAGAGCUGGAGCUUUUCCAAGGAUGCUGAGAUGACCCCUGGGACAGGAAGCUGAAAGAGGUACGGAAAGUGGUGGAGCACACUGAUGACUGACAUUCAAGUAACAGUUUCACUUGAAGAGCAGGGCUUAAACCACAACCUCCCCACUCUCUGGGAUGAGCCACGUGCCUAAACCAGGUUUCCAGAACUUGCUGGAAGUCUGAGCCCCCGGGGUAACCCCUCACUGCUUGUGUGCCUUGCCAUGGCAGGAGGAG